UCGAAUACCAUGGCUUCAUCCGGGCUCUCACGAAAUGCCUAGCUCUAAGUUCAUUGAACUCAAACAACAUGACCAUUCUCUGUCACCACUCUCUAUGUAAAAGGAUUUCCUGUCGAUAUACUCGAUACAGUGCCAACAGGCAGCAGGGCAGAGCCGCAGCGGGGAGUUUGGGGGCAUGCUCGACAAGGUAAGGAAAUCAUACCAUGUGAUGCCGAUGGAACAUAGCCAUCAAGGGAAGCUGGCAGAUCUGGAACAGGCAAGGCCUCUUGCAAUGAAGUUACGUCCAUGAACUGCAAGAGAUGGAGCGCGUCAGGAACUUGAUAGCAAGUGUAGUCCGGGAUAUUGGCGGCAAGUCGGCCAUGCUGGCCAUCACAAGAUAUAGACUGCAGGAAUAAGAUCGUAUUUUAGGUGAGGUUAUGAUUUGUUCUAAAUCACCAAAUAAACAGGUAUAAGGAUCCGAAAUCUGCAUCAGUAGGC